ensembl:snRNA U6 U6 spliceosomal RNA
AUGUCCACUUCAGCAGCAUAGCUACUAAAACUUAAAAGAUGUAGAGGAGAUUGGCAUGGCUCCUGCUCAAGGAUGGCACACAAAUUCAUGAAGCAUUUUAUGCUAUU